rnacentral:misc_RNA from 1 species
AUUCUAACCUCCAUUCCGGAAGUUAGCGAAGAUCUCAAAUUGAUUUCUUCCUGAACUUUAACUUGUCCAGCCUCAACAGGAACCAACAUGUCUGACCAACAGCUGGAUUGCGCUUUAGAUUUGAUGAGAAGACUUCCACCACAACAGAUAGAAAAGAAUUUGACAGAUUUAAUUGAUCUUGUUCCAACUCUUUGUGAAGAUUUGCUUUCAUCUGUUGACCAACCCCUUAAAAUUGCCAGGUGGAGCAGGAUGCCACAGUCAGCGACGCCUCCCCCCAUAUCGUCAAUAUCGGCAAAAUGGUGGAGGAUAUGGAAAACAAAAUUAGGAACACAUUGAAUGAGAUUUACUUUGGUAAAACCCGAGACAUAGUCUAUGGCCUUCGCUCAUUCAUUCCCCUAGGAGACAUGAAGAAACAAGAUGCACUCCGAAAUGAUCUGGCAGCAGCAUUAUCAAAGAGAAGUGCAGCACAAUAAUAGACUUUUAGUAAUAUACAGAACAACCGUGAGCACAUUUACAAUGGCUGAUCAUGUUUUCAUCUUAACGCCUUUUUUUUUCAUCGAGGGUGCAUAUGUACAAGUCUCCCGGCAUAGGACGCAAGUUCAUUUACUGUAAAUACGUGAUAUUUAUCGACUCGAUAUGCAAGAAUGUUGGCGGGAUCAACAGAAAUUAUGAACGAAGCAAGCCAUUUUUUCUUUCAGUGCUAUACUAGAAAUCUUUUAAAAUGAAAAUAUGUAUUCUGCUGUUUAUAUUUGAAUGUUGAUUUAUGUCUACAGAACCCUAAGAUACACAUAAGAGUUAAUCCAGCAAAGCCAUUCCUAACAAAAAUUCUGAAGUUGAGAUUUUAUUUGAAUUUAGAACAUCUCUUCUGUUUAUUGAAUGUGUUAUACAUUAUACAAGUAAAUGCAUUUUUAUAC